UACGGGGGGGGCAAGCGUUGUUCGGAAUUACUGGGCGUAAAGGGCUCGUAGGCGGCCAACUAAGUCGGAUGUGAAAUCCCCAGGCUUAACCUGGGAAUUGCAUCCGAUACUGGAUGGCUUGAAUCCGGGAGAGGGAUGCGGAAUUCCAGGUGUAGCGGUGAAAUGCGUAGAUAUCUGGAGGAACACCGGUGGCGAAGGCGGCAUCCUGGACCGGCAUUGACGCUGAGGAGCGAAAGCCAGGGGAGCAAACGGGG
rnacentral:rRNA from 1 species